UGUAUUUGCAAUUUUCACGGUGCCGCCGCCUCCGCCUCACCGGAGCGGGGGUUCUCGCGCGCGGCCGCGGGCUCCUGGCCGCUCGGCGCCCGUCGCUCAUCUACGGCCUAGCAGUGUUCCAUUGGGAGAAGCAAUGUCUGGAGUAAUAACUAAGUUUGCUGUUACAUCGAUGUUCAUGUGGAUGCCCCAGUUGCAAUUAUGUGUGGGUUCUGCCACCAGAUUUUUCCAGGUAUUAGUCACCUUUCAUCCUCAGCGCAAACUCUGGCCAGUGGGUUCCUUGCUGUCAUAUCGGUUAAUAUUGUGAUUGGCUUCUACAUAUACUCUGCGAUGAAGGAGGCUCCCCGCCAAGAGCCACAACCUGAUGCACCUUCUCAGCGAAUGCUAAAGCAAGUAUUAACCAGCCAGCAUCUUCUCAAGUGAGUUAUGAUUCCAAGGGGAAGGUGGAGUAGGCAGGAACACAACUUGACUUGGGUUUUCUUUCCAGUAUACACAUGUUAUUCAGAAUCAGUUGUGUCAUGUGCAUAAGGUAACAUCACAGCCUUUCAUUAGAUGCACUGCUGUCAAUUUUGAGAAGUAUGAAGCCAGAACCUAAUAUUCCGUAUGUUUAACUUUGCGCUAGCCUGAACUCAUAGUGAAGCAAUGUGUCCUUGCUAGAGGAGUUUGUUUGCAAACCUUAACUAGUGAAUUUAUAUUUUCUCCCUGAAACAACUAUCUCUCAUAUCAUUGUUGUGUAUUCUUUCGGUGACUGGCCGCUGUUGAAUAUAUUAUGUUGAUUUUCAUUGGAAGGGAAAGAUUUAUCUUGUACUUGCUCUUAAUUUGCCUUGUACUCAUUUUGUCACCAGAGAGCCAUUUCACUGUCGCUUGUUUUCCCUCCACUUUUGCCAAAUGGGCACAUCUUAUAAUUUCUGCUUUCUGACAUGUUUAUAUGAAUUUGGCUUUUAAAUAAUUUCUAGUCUUAAUCUGAGUUUACAUGUUUCCUAUGCUCGCUGUCCUGUUAGAAUUGGCCAAUGAGCACUUUUCAUUUUCACGAAGUUUUCACACCUUUGGUGCAACAAAAAGAAGGAA